CCGUAGGUGAACCUGCGKWAGGAUCAUUAUUGAAUGAACUUGGUGUGGUUGUUGCUGGCCCUUUUGGGGCAUGUGCACACCCACCAUCCUCAUCUCUCCACSUGUGCACCUCUUGUAGACUUGGGAUAAGACUUUCCGAGGCAACUCGGUCUGGAGGAAUGCUUGCUACCCAAGCUUUCUUUGUAUUUAUUUCCAGGUCUAUGUUUUUCAUAUACCCAAUAGUAUGUAACAGAAUGUAUGAUUUAGGCGCUUGUGCCUAUAAACCUUAUACAACUUUCAGCAACGGAUCUCUUGGCUCUCGCAUCGAUGAAGAACGCAGCGAAAUGCGAUAAGUAAUGUGAAUUGCAGAAUUCAGUGAAUCAUCGAAUCUUUGAACGCACCUUGCGCUCCUUGGUAUUCCGAGGAGCAUGCCUGUUUGAGUGUCAUUAAAUUCUCAACCUUAUCAGUUUAUUUCUGAUAGUGGCUUGGAUGGUGGAGGUGCUGGCUCCUUUAUUGAGGUCAGCUCCCCUUAAAUGCAUUAGCUGGUGCCCCGUGUGGACUGUCUAUUGGUGUGAUAAUUAUCUACGCUAUUGAUGUCCUUAGCACUGCUUCUAACUGUCUGUUAAUUCGGACAAUACAUGACAAUUUGACCUCAAAUCAGGUAGGACUACC
rnacentral:rRNA from 1 species